rnacentral:rRNA from 1 species
AGUGAACGCUGGCGGUAGGCCUAACACAUGCAAGUCGAACGGCAGCACAGUAAGAGCUUGCUCUUACGGGUGGCGAGUGGCGGACGGGUGAGGAAUACAUCGGAAUCUACUUUUUCGUGGGGGAUAACGUAGGGAAACUUACGCUAAUACCGCAUACGACCUACGGGUGAAAGCAGGGGAUCUUCGUACCUUGCGCGAUUGAAUGAGCCGAUGUCGGAUUAGCUAGUUGGCGGGGUAAAGGACCACCAAGGCGACGAUCCGUAGCUGGUCUGAGAGGAUGAUCAGCCAAACUGGAACUGAAACACGGUCCAGACUCCUACGGGAGGCAGCAGUGGGGAAUAUUGGACAAUGGGCGAAAGCCUGAUCCAGCCAUACCGCGUGGGUGAAGAAGGCCUUCGGGUUGUAAAGCCCUUUUGUUGGGAAAGAAAAGCAGCAGGUUAAUACCCCGCUGUUCUGACGGUACCCAAAGAAUAAGCACCGGCUAACUUCGUG